rnacentral:lncRNA from 1 species
CACUCGAUCUAUGUUCAACAUGCAUAUAUUUUGUCAUCCAUUGGUAGUCAUUACUUAGCAUUUUAUACAUUCGUUAACAUUUACUACAUGCAUUCUCGGUUAGUACAAAUCUCAUACUUUCAUUUGACAUCUAUUCAGCAUUUCUAUAAUAUGCACAUAUAAAUUAACAUCAACUCAUGCAUUCAUUUGGCAUCUAUCUUUAUCAUGCAUUCUUAAUUAGCAUAC